CAUUACUGUCUCUUUCAACAGUGUCUUUUUCAUUUUUCUUAUGUCAUCAUGAAUUUAUUUAUAUUUUCUAUUAUUCGUCAAAGACCUGAGCAUAUACCUAUCCCCCUCUAAUAGUUCAGUUAUUUGAAACGGCCCCCUAAACUUUGGACUUAACUUUGUCUGAUGCCUUUCUUCAUUUUUUAACAAUACGAAAUCUCCAACCUUGCAUCCAACAAUUUUAGCCUUGUUUUUAUCAAAUUGCUCCUUGUUAUAUGUUGCUGCAGCUGAAAUAUUUUGACCUGCGCGUGUUCUUACUUCUGCCAAGUCGACCUCUUCUACCAUAUCGCAGGGUGGAAGCAACCCCAACGGGCGAGCAACUUUGCCGAUAAACAAUUCCAAGGGGCUUGCUUUUGUCACUCGACUAACCGUACAGUUUAAGGCUAAUUGAACGGCCGUUAAUAAAUUCUUUAAGGUGCUCAUAAUGCGUUCAACUUGACCAUUAGCCCUACUUGCACCUGUCGCAAUCAAAUGUAAAUUAAUUUUUUGUUGUCACUAAAUCUAGUACUGGCGAAACAUCUGCCCUGAUCCGAUAUUAUGCGAUUUGGUACUCCAAACUGAGAAAUAGCAGACGUGACAGCAUUUAUGCAAUUUUCAGCAUCAAUUUUAAGCGUAUGGGUUAAAUAAACAAAUUUAGUGAAAGCGUCCACCUGAACACUGAUAUAUUCCUUCUGAUCAGACUUGCCACUCAACUUUUCAGUUAUGUCAAUGUGAAUUGUGUGCCAAGGUGUAUUUACUUUUGGUAUUGGAUGAAGACUUACUUGAACUUUACCCGAAGAAGACUUUGACAUUUUACAUGUAAUGCAGUUAUCAACAAACUUCCGAAUAUACUUGGACAUAUUCUUCAUAGUCUUCUCCCAUCCCAAAUGCAUGAUGGACUCAUGAAUUUGAUUUAUUACGGACCAUCUAAAUGGUCGAGGAACAAUUGAUAAGGUUCGAGUUCUACCAUUUCGCUGAAUUUUUCGAUAAAGUAUUACUGCUCUCAAUUCAAUCUUGACGCUGUUCGGACAAAAGCAAAUUCUCAGAUAUUUCCGCCAAAUUUACUCGUUUUUCUAGAGUUUUGCAAGUCAAUUCUGCUGAAGGCGAAUUUCUUGAAAAGAAGUCAACAUGAGACAUUCGCUUGCCUUCUUUAUAUUGUAUGUCAAAUGUAAAGGACUGUAAAUACGCCUACCAUCUUUGCACCCUGGGACAUAGAUCCUUUUUAGUUCUUGAUGCUUUAAGUGAGUUACAAUCAGUGAAGACAACAAAAUUUCUACCCAAUAGAUAAUGGCGAAAAUGUUUUAUAGACAAAACAACAGCAAGAGUUUCUAGUUCAUAAGAAUGAUACCGUGAUUCAGCCGGAGAAGCAGCCUUACUAUAAUAUUCAAUGACAUGAGACUUGUUUUUGAUUUUGUGUAACAAGAUAGCACCGUAUCCCCGUGAACUUGCAUCAGUAUGCAACUCGAUCGGAUGGUUCGGAUCAAAAAUUACUAAAACUGGCUUUUGUGUAGAAUAGAAAUAACUUUUUGUCUAAUUUCUUCAUGUUCCGAUCUCCAAACAAAAUCAUUCUUCUCCGAAGUCAAAAAAUAUAACGGUUUCAUAAAACAGGAAAAUCCUUGCAUAAAUUGCCUGAAGUAAGACGCUAAUCCAAUAAAUUGGCGUAAAGCAGAGAUUGUCUUAGGAGGUGGCAAGGUAGUUAACGCUGUAACUUUAAGCGAAUUCGGGCGGAUUUCACCUGCACUCACUUCAUACCCCAGAUAUUGAAUUGUUGACUUGAGAAAAGAACAUUUUUUACAUUGAAUGAGAAUCCAGCCUCCGUGAGACAAUUAAGAGUAAUUUGCAACCUUUCCAAAGCCUCACUUUUUGUUGCAGCAGCCACCAUUACGUCAUCCAUAUAAACGACAACAAACGUAUUUGCAAGGUCUCCAAGAGCUUGCAUGACUGUGCGUUGAAAUACUGAAGGUGCGUUUCUGAGCCUAAAAGGCAUUGCCAAAAAUUCAUAUUGCCCGUCUGGUGUGACAAAUGCUGUACACUCUACCGAUUCUUUGUUAGCGCCAUCAAGAUCCGCGUUGAAUUUUGGUAGCACAAUUGUUUUUUUAUUUGUUGUUUCAGGUGUCGAUGAUUGUACAGCUUUAAUAAGCUCGAUCAAAUUUUUAUUUUGCAUUUCCAUUAAAAUUCGCCAUGGUCCAUCUGAUUCAUUAGGCAGCGAGCCAGAUCCCACUUCUGAUUGAUAUUAUUUUACAACAUUGUAAUAGCGCAGCGAGUUUCGCUUUCACACGCACGAAAUCCUGAAAGCAACUACCAGCGUCAUCCCUUCUUCUUUCUGUGCUUACCACCGAACCACACUUGACCACAGCGACACAACGCUGUCGCCCCGCUUAAACGGUACUUCUUAAGCGACAACACGCAUACAACCAAACAAAGCACCGUUAGAGGCUGAUGCAAUAUUACUUUAAUGAUGAAAUUAGUCUUCUGGAAUUUUCUAGAGACGUAUACCCAUACACUCAUACCAACAUCCACACACUCUUAGUGUGCGCCGACAUGUACAAAAUAUCAGAUAAUUACAUUUUUUAGUUUUCUCAGAAAUUUUUUUUUCAAAAAUCGUGUUUUUUCGGCUUUUUAACUGCAUAUAACCCACAAGUCCCCUGACUUAAUUUUAGACAAUUCUUGUAAAAUUACUUCAUUAAUCAUAGUUUUGGUAGUUGUGUUUUCUUUUCUGCGCUCAAGUAGGUCGCUCAAGUGCUCGAAUCGAUUAAGGUACGGUGAUUGUGGCAUUUUAACCUGAUUUCGAACAUUAUAUAACAGCCAGAGCUUCACGUUCCCUUCUGUGCCAAGUUUUGAGCAUUUUUAUGAAGGUUUUCCCGUAUUAUACCCAUAUAGUCCAUGUGGGUCUUAUUGGAAUCCAAUCUAUAAAUUUAAGAUUCCCAACGCCUUCUGCAGCAAUACAGACCCAAUUUAAUACUCCACCACCUCUGUGUUUCACAGUCGGAUAAAAAUUUUUUGUUGAACUAGUGGAACACACUUUUUUUCUUCCCUCUUUGUUUAAGUCGGAGGACGACCAGCUCGGGGCUUGGACAACCUUUUGAAUGGAGGAGUUGGCUCAACCCACAUCAUUUACCCUCAAGAAAUAACAUCGUUAUAAUUUAUCUUUUCACUGCAAAAAUUUCCUUUCCUUUGGGCGCCAUCAUGACAGAAAUUACAUAAAUUGCUUUUUGUUUUGUUUGUUUGUUCCAAGAAAUAAAUGAUUAAAUGUUUGUGUACGCUGAA